AUUGAACGCUGGCGGCAGGCCUAACACAUGCAAGUCGAACGAGUGGCGGACGGGUGAGUAAUGUCUGGGAAACUGCCCGAUGGAGGGGGAUAACUACUGGAAACGGUAGCUAAUACCGCAUACCAUCGGAUGUGCCCAGAUGGGAUUAGCUCGUAGGUGGGGUAACGGCUCACCUAGGCGACGAUCCCUAGCUGGUCUGAGAGGAUGACCGGCCACACUGGAACUGAGACACGGACCAGACUCCUACGGGAGGCAGCAGUGGGGAAUAUUGGACAAUGGGCGCAAGCCUGAUGCAGCCAUGCCGCGUGUAUGAAGAAGGCCGUCGGGUUGUAAAGUACUUUCAGCGAGGAGGCGUUACUCGCAGAAGAAGCACCGGCUAACUCCGUGCCAGCCGCCGCGGUAAUUC
rnacentral:rRNA from 1 species